ensembl:lncRNA novel transcript, antisense to FREM1
AGAGAGACAUCAUCAGAGAGAGGGACAGAAUGAAUGGUUACGGUUGAGUUCCCAGUCAAAAUAAAGCUAGCAGUACACGUGAAAAAAGUCCUGUGUUCUCCAGCAAGGUCACUGGUUUCUUCAAGACAGUCACUAAUGUCUUCAGCAGACUGUCCUGUGGGCAUUGACGGAGGGAAGCAGGAAAUGAAAGAAGCUAGAAGUUCCAGAAAUGCAUGUAAAAUUAAAAGCCCUGGAUCUGAUACAAAUGUAUUAAGCCAAGAAGCACCCAGCCUUCAUAAGCAAACAGGAAAAAAAGAACAAUCAUUGCUCCUCUUGGUAACUCCUUUCCUCCUUCAAGAUCAUACUUGGUGUUGUAAAGAUUGGAAGAAGGUCGUCAAGGAAAGAAUAUAAUGACAACAACAACGACAGUAAGAGUAGUAGCUAACACUUACUUAGUUCUUCCUAUGUGCCAGGUGUUGUUCUACUAAUACUUUACAUGCAUAAGCUCAUAUAAACCUCCCGCAACCUUGUGAGGCAGGUGCUACGAGCAUCAUUCCAUUUCAAAGAAGAGGAAACAAGAGCACAGGAGGUUGUGUAACCUGAUGAUUGUCACAGAGUUGUGAGUCACUCAGGCAGUUCUUGCCCCCAAGCCUGUAUCUUAACUUCACUACUCCAUCUCUCAAACAAAAGAGCCAGCUUGAAAAGGAAUCCCCACAUCUCACAUUUUAGUGAAUGCCUAGCAACACUCAAAGACUGAACUAGUUAAAAUAUUGAUCAAUUAAAUGAUUACCUGCUUGUUAAGGGACACUUAUCAAGAGAAAAAAAUAAGAUAUUCGUUCCAGCUUUCUGGGAUUUUUUGUUUUGUUUUGUUGGAUUAUCCAAAUCAGCUUUCAAAAAUCAUUUUAAUGCUAAAAAGGUGAGCAGCAUCCUCUUUACUGACAUCUAACCAGUGUUUAUCAGAGCAGAUAUAUUGAAUUUAGAUAGGUAAAAGUAAGAUAGAGGACAGUGAUAUUCGAACAUGGGUGUGACAGUGAUACUUGAUAGUUUAUGGGAACCCAUUGAAUAAUAUAGGAGUAUGCUCCAUUUAUGUUAUUUUAUAGUGCUCUUUAGAAGACUGUAUUGUGACGUGGUGAAAAUUGCACCAGGAACCAAAAGUGUGGGUGUACAAUAGACAAACCAGUGCUCUCCAGGCCUCCUUCUGAACUGACAGAACUCAAAACUGGAUUGUAUACAAUGGUUCGUUCAAAGUCCAACAUUUCCCAGUUCUCAUGCCCGGCCUGGGGAUCUGUGUUUCUCUCCAGGACCUCAGGAUCAACCAGCUUUGAGAGCUGCGAGAUUAUAGAUCUUCUGGACUUGGCUCUUGCUUUAUGUGACUUGAAACAAAUUUCCAUAUUUUAAAUGAAUGUAGAUUUUCAUUAAUGUUGUAUCUUUGCCUUUUCACCAGAUUGUUAUUCAUUCCAAUGAUUUAUUUGAUACGGAAUUCUGGAACAGGUGCGCAGCCCCCAAUUACAACAUUGUUUCUAUGGGGAAAUAUGAUCUACUUUAUGACAACAUGAUUUAUGAUACAGUUACCAGAACACAUUGUGUCAAAAGGCAGUCUCUGUUUAUGCCAAAUGUUUACUAAUAAAUCCCUUUUCGUCAGACAGAAAAACAUACUCCAAAAAGAGGGAAAUGACUUUUCCAGAUCUAUCUUUAGCUGGGAGCCUCAGCUUUUCACAUUUCUCCUCGUAGCAGAACUUGCAUAAAGAUCUGUUUACUGUGUAUAUUUUUCAAUAACAGGCCCUAAUUUCUUGCUUUGCUUCUGUCAUUUUAAUCGUGUGGCUU